GAUGAACGCUGGCGGCGUGCCUAAUACAUGCAAGUCGAGCGAACGGACGAGAAGCUUGCUUCUCUGAUGUUAGCGGCGGACGGGUGAGUAACACGUGGAUAACCUACCUAUAAGACUGGGAUAACUUCGGGAAACCGGAGCUAAUACCGGAUAAUAUUUUGAACCGCAUGGUUCAAUAGUGAAAGACGGUCUUGCUGUCACUUAUAGAUGGAUCCGCGCUGCAUUAGCUAGUUGGUAAGGUAACGGCUUACCAAGGCAACGAUGCAUAGCCGACCUGAGAGGGUGAUCGGCAACACUGGACCUGAGACACGGCCCAGACUCCUAGGGGAGGAAGCAGAAGGAAAUCUUCCGAAAUGGGCGAAAGCCUGACGGAGCAACGCGGCGUGAGUGAUGAAGGUCUUCGGAUCGUAAAACUCUGUUAUUAGGGAAGAAAAUAUGUGUAAGUAAUUGUGAAGAUCUUGCCGGUACUUAAUAAGAAAGCAACGGCUAACUCCGU
rnacentral:rRNA from 1 species